GACAGAGGGUGCAAACGUUGUUCGGAAUUACUGGGCGUAAAGCGCGUGUAGGCGGUCUUGUAAGUCGGAUGUGAAAGCCCUGGGCUCAACCCAGGAAGUGCACUCGAAACUGCGAGGCUAGAGUAUCGGAGAGGUUGGUGGAAUUCUCGGUGUAGAGGUGAAAUUCGUAGAUAUCGAGAGGAACAUCGGUGGCGAAGGCGGCCAACUGGACGAUUACUGACGCUGAGACUCGAAAGCGUGGGGAGCAAACAGG
rnacentral:rRNA from 1 species